UAUUAAACAAUUACUAUCGUUUAAAGGCUGGAUCCCUCUAAGUAGACUUACAUACUGCGCUUAUCUUUUGAAUCCUAUCAUAAUACGUUCGAUUUGUUUGUAUAGUGAAACAUCAGAGCAUUUUGAACUACUAUCUUCGUUAACUCUGAGUGUGGCAUAUAUUGUAAUUACUUACUUUUGUUCUUACGUAUUGUCUUUGAUUAUAGAAAUACCGUAUAUUUUGUUAAUGCAAAUGUUUAUCCGAAAUCGCUAUAGAAUGCAUAGAAAAGUAACAUAGUUUUGCAUACAUAUUCCAUUAAUCACUUUCAUAACAUUUACUUGAACAUAACAAAGAAUGUAAGUUAUACAAUGUAAAUUGUAUAAAUAAAAUAUGUAUAUAUACA